UGCAUCUCCCCAUCGUGCGGAUCAAAACAUCUGGCAAUGGGAUGGAGCAGCCAAUAGCAGGCCGCGAUGGGGACGAGCCUCCCUGCUUGAGAUGCAGCAACCUGUGAUGGAAUCAGGAGAGACGCAGGUGAGGGGAGACUGGGUUAAGUAU